rnacentral:rRNA from 1 species
AACAUAGUGACAACUUGACUCAGGUGUAUACUAAGAAUACAUCUAGCUGUACAAGUUAUCAUGAAUGGCAGGACACAUUGAUCACUGAACAAUUUGAAUGCACUUGUGGCCCCGGGUUCAUCACGGGGCUCUGCCUGUCUGAGCGUCA